UACGUAGGGUGCAAGCGUUAUCCGGAAUUAUUGGGCGUAAAGAGCUCGUAGGCGGUUUGUCGCGUCUGCUGUGAAAACUGGGGGGCUCAACCCCCCAGCCUGCAGUGGGGUACGGGCAGACUAGAGUGCGGUAGGGGAGAUUGGAAUUCCUGGUGUAGCGGUGGAAUGCGCAGAUAUCAGGAGGAACACCGAUGGCGAAGGCAGAUCUCUGGGCCGUAACUGACGCUGAGGAGCGAAAGCAUGGGGAGCGAACAGG
rnacentral:rRNA from 1 species